AACAAACGCUGGCGGCGUGCCUAACACAUGCAAGUCGAACGUGAAAGUUGGCUUCGGCCGAUGAGUAAAGUGGCGCACGGGUGAGUAACGCGUGGAUAAUCUACCCUUCAGUUGGGAAUAACUCAUCGAAAGGUGAGCUAAUACCGAAUAAUACUGCUUGACCAUGGUCAGGUAGUCAAAGAUAGCCUCUGCUUGCAAGCUUUCGCUGAAAGAUGAGUCCGCGUACCAUUAGCUAGUUGGUGGGGUAAUGGCCUACCAAGGCGACGAUGGUUAGCUGGUCUGAGAGGAUGAUCAGCCACACUGGAACUGAGACACGGUCCAGACUCCUACGGGAGGCAGCAGUGAGGAAUCUUGCGCAAUGGGGGAAACCCUGACGCAGCAACGCCGCGUGAGUGAGGAAGGUCUUCGGGUCGUAAAGCUCUGUCGGGUGGAAAGAAAUGUAUGGGGUUAAUAGCCUUCAUACUUGACGGUACCACCAAAGGAAGCACCGGCUAACUCCGUGCCAGCAGCCGCAGUAAGAC
rnacentral:rRNA from 1 species